rnacentral:rRNA from 1 species
AGUAACGGCGAGUGAAGCGGCAACAGCUCAAAUUUGAAAUCUGGCCCCCAGGGCCCGAGUUGUAAUUUGCAGAGGAUGCUUUUGGCGCGGUGCCUUCCGAGUUCCCUGGAACGGGACGCCAUAGAGGGUGAGAGCCCCGUCUGGUCGGACGCCUAGCCUGUGUAAAGCUCCUUCGACGAGUCGAGUAGUUUGGGAAUGCUGCUCUAAAUGGGAGGUAUAUGUCUUCUAAAGCUAAAUACCGGCCAGAGACCGAUAGCGCACAAGUAGAGUGAUCGAAAGAUGAAAAGCACUUUGAAAAGAGGGUUAAAUAGUACGUGAAAUUGUUGAAAGGGAAGCGCUUGUGACCAGACUUGGGCCCGGUGGAUCAUCCAGCGUUCUCGCUGGUGCACUCCGCCGGGUUCAGGCCAGCAUCAGUUCGCCGCGGGGGAAAAAGGCUUCGGGAACGUGGCUCCUACGGGAGUGUUAUAGCCCGUUGCAUAAUACCCUGGGGCGGACUGAGGUUCGCGCUCCGCAAGGAUGCUGGCGUAAUGGUCAUCAGCGACCCGUCUUGAAACACGGACCAAGGAGUCGUCUUCGUAUGCGAGUGUUCGGGUGUAAAACCCCUACGCGUAAUGAAAGUGAACGCAGGUGAGAGCUUCGGCGCAUCAUCGACCGAUCCUGAUGUUCUCGGAUGGAUUUGAGUAAGAGCAUACGGGGCCGGACCCGAAAGAAGGUGAACUAUGCCUGUAUAGGGUGAAGCCAGAGGAAACUCUGGUGGAGGCUCGCAGCGGUUCUGACGUGCAAAUCGAUCGUC